rnacentral:rRNA from 1 species
GACGUAGGGCGCGAGCGUUGUCCGGAUUUAUUGGGCGUAAAGAGCUCGUAGGCGGCUUGUCGCGUCGUCCGUGAAAACCCACAGCUCAACUGUGGGCUUGCGGUCGAUACGGGCAGGCUAGAGUUCGGUAGGGGAGACUGGAAUUCCUGGUGUAGCGGUGAAAUGCGCAGAUAUCAGGAGGAACACCAGUGGCGAAGGCGGCUCACUGGCCCGGUACUGACGCUGAGGUGCGAAAGCGUGGGGAGCAAACAGG